rnacentral:tRNA from 1 species
UGGCUCAGACGGUAAAGCGUCUGUCUGCAAUGCAGGAGACCUGGGUUCAAUCCCUG